CGGGCCCCCGAGGGAGCUCUGCCGUCCCCUGAGGUGCUGCGGGGAGCGGCCCUGCUCCGGGAGGCACAGGGGCACCUCCCGACACAGCCCCCCGAAACAACAGCGGCCCCGGUGCGGGCUGAGCCCGUCCCAGCGGCGGCCGCAGCUGAAGUGUGAAGAGCAUCGUGGGCAGCGUGAAGCGCGCCCAGGCUCCGCUCUGCUGUGGGACCCAGCCAUACACCUGAUCCGGACGAGAUCGUGGCGUUAUCACCCUUCUCCCUGGGUUCUGCCCCAAAACACCCACUUCCGUGAAUGCUCACAGCCCCUCAGGCAAAGAAGAGCGCCCCACCUGCGCUCUCAGCACCAAGGUCCAGGGGACCGGUGUCUCAUCAAGGCUUGUCUCAACAAGACAGCAACUGAAAAUCUCGACAUCUCAUCACAGGUUUUGAAGCCUGCUUAUCCUGACCAAGCCUUUCUAGAUCUCAUCAACAUGAAGGAACUCUCCUUAUGCCCUUCCAAGAUCUGUGCAACUUCUUGGAGUGACUUCCCGGUGAUGCCAACAGCUUUCCCUGGCACCCCCAAGCAGAUUAAGUGGAAGACCACAGCAUGCUUCGUCCUUGGCUUUGUCACCUUUGCCUACCUCCAGAAUGAGCUCAUGCUCCUGAGCUGGAAAUACAACUGGCUGGCACAAAUGUGA
rnacentral:lncRNA from 1 species